AAAUUUGGGGCCAGAGCUAAUAUUUGAUGAGGCUUUGCCUAUACUCGGCCAUGUGUACAUGAAUGCAUGAUUCCAUGUUAAAACGAUCUUGUGAGAGAUUUUAGUUCUACAUUUCAUCUAUCCUAUAUGAAAACCUAGUCAUCACAGACUCGCAGAUUUAACUUUGAUUAGCCAGUUCUACUACUCAAAUAUUAUUUUAUUUGCCAAUAAAACUAUAGUAAUUGAUUCAUAAUUAGUUAGUGCUAUCCCUAUUUACAGUUACUUACAAUUGGCGUUCACUGUCGAUUUCACGAUGUGCUAGCACCCAAACUGGUCUUACUAUAAGGAAUCAAUGGUUGAGAUUAAUUGGUUCUUAAUGCCAUUUUGUUUAAGCAGUUCCAACUGCAAUAAAUGAAAGUUAGUUGGGAGUUUAUAUAGUUGUAGGGCAGCCCCCACCCCAAAAAAGAGAGUAAAAACUGGGUUAGAGACUAGUGAGGAACGUGCUCCUGCUUUAAAAUCUAUCAAGGAGUUGACGGUCCAUGUUUAUCUGCAAAUAUAUUUGUUUUACUUCGCUAGUUUAAUAGUUUGUUAUAUUUGAUGAAUUUAUGUGAAUUAAUAUCUUUUGUCUUGAGAAAAAAAAUUAUCAAUCGUAUGGCAGCUAUACGACAGAGAUCAUUAGGUUAAUGACAAAUUAUUUUGGUUAAAUAUACAAUAUUGUAAGAAAUUGCGUGGGUUUUAACUCGAUAUACCCCUCUCACUCUUGAAAAAUUCUUCUUUCUCCCCAUAAUAUAAUAUAUUUUCUUUUUGAUUUUUCUUUAAAUGAGAAAUGUGGUCAAAGACAAUAUAACCCUUCAUAAAAUAGCUUAAUUACAAAGAUCCAACCUUAAAGAUCCGACCGACCCAAACUCCAUCUGGUUCAACCCGUACCUUUACAUAAACGACAGCGUUUUGUCCCAAUAUCUCUCACAUCCAACUCUCGAAUCAAACGCACCAGCUCAAGAAGAGCUUCCACGAUGACGGCUCGAUGCGACGUAGCUACAAAAUCAGCUGAUUCGGUGAACGCAAAGUCCGAUCUUUCGGAAGAGGAGAUCGAAGCGAAGGCAAAGGUAGGAACAGAGUGACUGCGCCUUUGAAGGGUUAUCAUGUAAACCCUAUCCCGGAGGUUGAUUUGUAAGUUGUAAGCGACCACUGUGGAGAUAAGGUGGGGACACGUCCUGGGUAGGGCCGGACGGGAGGGUGUACCAUAGCCACGAUGGACUCGCACCGCACUCACACGAACCCAUCUACUCUCCUGGUUACUUCAGCUGCCGAGCUCCUUCCCUCAACGACCGUAACUUCUCUGAGAGAGCUUUUACCGUCGGUAUCGGCGUUCCUGUCGGCACAGGAAACUUUGAGUUUGGUGUCGGGUUGCAAAUGGGCACUGGGAACUGGGAAAGAUACAGUCUACUUCAAAUGUAAGUUUUUUUGUAAUGUUGCACUUUCCAUAUGAUUUGAAGGGUUUCUGCCUUUUGACUAGUGUGGUUUUGUUGCUAUCAAAGGCUGUGAAAGUGUUUACUGAAGAGCUUGUUCCAGCAAACCCAGAUAUUUUGGAAGGUGUUGCAGACCUUAUACAGCUUAGCUAUUUAAAUUAACCGUCUGUUAUUUAUAAACUUCGUGUCAGAUACUUGGAAGACUGAUGAAGGACCUCAGAAGAAAAGACAGCUUCUUCUCAGGGAGGACCUCAGCCAUUGGCAAAAUGUUGUGACCACAGACCUGCUGAGGUUGAUCAAAAAAAAAAAGACCUGCUGAGAAUCUCGUCUUGUAGAAAGGUGGAUCCUUGUACUGGACCAGAGAAGUUGAUAAGGUCUUGUCCGGCUCUUGAGAGUUUGCAACUCAAAAAGUGUUGUUUGAAUGAUAAAGAAGGGAUGGGAGCUUCUUGGGGCAUUAUAUUUUAUCUUCGAUGGAUCCUUGUCCUGGACCAGAGAAGCGUUGGAAGCUUCUUGAUGUUUUAUAUCAAUUAGGUACACUGAUGUUUUGUAUAAAAUGAUAUUAUUGAGAAAAAAAAUUAUUGAUUUUAUUUUUGUUGUGAUGUUUGGAAAACCAAAGUAACAUACUUAUAUUUAUUCGUGGAGAGCUCGUGACUUCCUUUGAGGGUAAUCAGGAAUGUAACACAAACAACAUUUACAUAACAAGUGAUCAAGAUCGACAGGGCGGAAAAAAGAAUAAAGCAAAGGUUUAAAAAAAUUUGAGAUUCGAGUAAAUCUUUAAAAAAAAUUGUAGGUAUUAAGGGUUUUGAAGAAAUUUCAGUUUUUUUUUUUUUAAGUUUUAAAUAUUUAUUUAGAAUAAUAUUUUUAUUCUUUAACUACUAUAAUCUGAUAUUUUUAUCGUUUUAUGGAAUAUAUAAAAGCUUUCUAUUUUUUAUUUGAUUGAUUUUAUUAACAAAAUUUUAAUUACACUUAGUAAUUCUUGGUAAUCUUCAAGGUAGUAGUAAUACAUCCUUACACAUAGUAAUAUUUUGGCAGAUUUUAAGUUUUAUUAGUAAAACUAUGUCGAAAUGAUAUAUUUUGUAGUAAAACCAAUGAUUUUAUACAAUGAAUGUCAUUAAAAAAUAUAAUUACAUAAACAGUUUACCAAAACUAAAUAUUUUUGUAGAUUCUUCUUACUAUAGCUUUGCGAUUCACACAACAACCAUGAAAGUUAAUGAAUCAUUUUGGGAAAAUGAUAAAUUUUCCUAAAACUAUAAUAAAUAAUCAUCUAAAUAGUUUUAAUAGGCUUAUGUACUAUAUACAUAGUCUACUAAUAGAUAAUAUAUGGGUUCUAUAUCCUAAAUAUACGUACUACUUGCAAUAUAUAGGAGUUUCAAACUUCGCACAAUAAAACCCAGUAAUCCUAGUAAUCUGAAUUACACAUAACAAACCCAGUAAUCUUAGUAGUAUGAAUUACACACAAUAAAUCUAGUAAUCCUAGUGAUCCAAUUAUUUCAUUUUAUUUCAGAUAUAUUUUAUUUCAGUUUUAUUUUAUUGAAGUUUUCCUGAAAUAAAAUGGAAUUAUCAUUACAAUUAGUAUUAUUAAGAAUUUUAAAAUUAAUUCCACACCGUACAGUCUUCUCUUACUAAAAUUAAUCCGUUUUAGUACUAUACAUAAUAAUACUGGUAAUAUUAUAUACAAAACCACAUUUAAGUUCUUUGCAAUAUAUAUUAUAUACACCAAAUAAUAAAAUUAAUAUAAAUGUCAAAUUUCAAAAAUAACAAUUAAUGUCUAUAUACUAAAAUCAAAUAUUUUUCUUAUCUUAGAAUAAAUAUAUCUUAAAAUAAUAAAUCUAAAUAAGAAAACUUUUGUAAAUUAAUAUCUCUACAAAUUAAUAAAAUUUCAAAGUUCCAACAUUAUUAAUUUGUAGAGGUUCUACUGUAGUUCUAUUAGUAAUACCCAGAAAUGAUCCUUUCACUUAUUAAUCAAAAUUUUAGGACUUUUUGUUCGGAUUUUACAUUAUUCAUAAUAGGCCUGGGCAUUCGGGAUCCCAAUCGGGUUUCGGUUUUGUCCAAUCGGGUCUCGGUUUUUCGGGUUUAUCAAAAUCAGCCCCAUUCGGAUUAUAUAAAAAUUCGGUUCGGGACCGGUUCGUGUUUUAUCGGGUUCGGAUCGGGGUUAGUAAAUCUUCAAAGAACCGGUACAACCCGGUGUACUUUCGGGUUUUGGGUUCCAACCGGUUCUUCGGUUUUACAGUACUUGAUUUAUACCUAUUUUGUAACCAAAACAUAAGUAAAAUCGGUUCUUCGGGUUUAAAGUAUUUGAUUUGUACCUAUUUUGUAACCAAAACAUAAGUAAAAUCGAUUCAGAAAUAAGAAAAAAAUAUCAAACAUGAUCAUUCAAAGUCAAACGAAAGGUAUACGUUGUUAUUGAUAGAAAGAACCAAUAAAUGAUAUCAUAAAACGAAAAAUUAAGUUAUCAUGAAAUGAAAAAAAUUAUUCAAUGAAAAUAAAACCAAAAUCUAAAAAUUUCAAGCCUCAACCGCCACUUUCAACCAUCAACCUUCAUGUAGUAGAUAGUUAUUGUAGAUGUUUAAUAAUAUCUUAGUGUAUUUUGGCUACAUAUCAGGAAUUGAAAUCAUGUUUGGUACAAGUUCUUUUUUGGCAUUUUGAAUGUUUCGAGUUCUAUCGGAUAUCCAUUUAAUUUCGGGUUCGGUUCGGAUAAUAUCCAUAACCCGAAAUACCAUAAAACAAGAUCCAUUCGGUAUUUAUGUCGGGUUCAGAUCGGUUCGGAUUCAUUUUCAUCGGAUCGGGUUCGGUUCGGAUUUUCGGGUUCGGUUUAUUUGCCCAGCCCUAAUUCAUAAUGUAUAAUUCAUCUAAAUGAAAUUACACACAAAAAAUCACCAAAAACGAUAUAAAUUAUAUCCUAAACCCAUAAACACAAUUUUUAAAAUCCUUUUUAAUAUUUUAAAAUUUGGAUUGAAUCUUUUUUUUUACACUAGCCGAAAUAUACACUUCUUUUUAAUAGUAUUUCAGUAAAAAAUUCACCAAAAAUGGACAUAAAAUAUACCCGAAAUUCAUAAACACAGUUUUUAAAUCAUUUUUUAUCUCUCAAUAUUUUCAUCAAUUAUUACCUUUUUAACGUUAUCCAUGAUAUAAAAACAUUUAAAUGAUAUUCCAGAAAAAAAAAUCAUCGAAAACAGACAUAAAAUAUACCUGAAAUCUAUAAACACAGUUUUCAAAAUCGUUUUUAUCUCUCAAUAUUUUCAUCAAUUCUUACUUUUUUAACAGUACCCAUGAUGUAAAAAACAUUUAAAUGAUAUUCCAGAAAAACAAUCAUCGAAAAUGGACAAGAAUCACCUCUUCUUCAAGCUUCAAAAUCAUCAAUGGAGGAUGGAGAAGAUGAACCUUCACGAUGGGAGAUAAAGUCAUGUUGGCCAAGUAAAAUCUCAUUGGUUAAGGUUAAUAUGUGGGUCAUAGUGGUAGAUAAAUUAUGAUUGGUUAAUUUAAUUGGAGAAAUUAAUGUAUUUAUGAAGUGGAAUAAGAUAUAAUAAACUAAUGGAGGGUUAUACAUGGAAGCACAAUGACAAAGGGGUACUGAGAAUAGAAAGGGGAUAAAGAGAAUAAUUUUUUUUUCAUAGGGGCAUAUGGAGUUAGCCCCCACAUUUUUUCUCUUUACUUUAAUUAUUUUGGUGUUGCGAGACUCAUUGAAAAACUCUUAGUGCAAAUAUACAAUCGUGCUCCAAAAUUUCUCAAGAGUUAAUGAAACACCUUUUAGGAAUUAUGGGCUCGAAGCCCAUUAACAAAUGACAAUAUGUAGCUGUUAGGGUUAUUUUUGUUGUUAAUCGAAUAUACUUAAGCUCCUAACUAGGUUCUUAAGAUAAUUAAUAAUUAAAAAAAAAAAAUAGGUAUUAACCUAAGAGACGUAUCCUAUCUCCUCUCUAAAACAGAGCUUUGUGUCUCAUAACGGCAAUGCUCUCUGUUUCUCUAGCUCUCGCUUGCUCUCUUCGUCUUCUUCAGUACUCGUCGCCGGCGGCGGUCUCGCCGUGAAACGACAUGGACUAGCUUCGAAACCGGUGAGGACGGUGAAUCUCUCGGUGAAGUCCCGUCAGACGGAUUACUUCGAGAAGCAGAGGUUCGGUGACUCGUCUUCUUCUUCACAGAACGGUGAAGGAGGGCCUGCUAGGUUUUAUGUGGGACAUUCAAUAUCCAAAGGGAAAGCUGCGUUGACGGUGGAGCCAAGAACACCUGAGUUUGUGUCUUUAGACUCUGGAGCUUUCAAGUUAUCCAAAGAUGGUUUUCUACUGCUUCAGUUUGCUCCUGCAGCUGGUGUAAGGCAAUACGAUUGGAGCAAGAAAGGUGAGACUUUGGAGUCAGAUGAGAUCAGUGAGGAAGUGUAUCUUCCGUUGAAAGAAUCAAUAGGACAUACUGAAGUUGAAGUGAUAGCAGGAGCUUUGUUCGGUUUCUUAGUUAGCUUUGGUGUUUAUUCCCUUAUGUCAAAGCUACCAACUUUAUAUGUGGGUUGUUAAGAAAAGAGAGAGUUUGAUAUUUGUGCAAUUGUAAAACUUAAGAGAAUCAGUGGAAAUGUCAAAAACAGUUUUGUGGAUAGCAUGUUGCUCUUGCUGUUUUGGUUUUGGAGAGAGAUGCAGGUUCCAUCACCCAGCAGACAGUGUAAUGGCCAAAUAAGCUUCUCAACAACCGAAUGUAAAGCUGAGUUCUUGCAGGGUAUCCAGAAUAGAGGGUGCACUUAAUUUCCUGUAUUACAUGAAGACGGGGACUUGCAAGUGCGGCGUUAUUAGCCCUCGUUCUGAUGUUGGUGUCAAGGAGAUUGAAUGCUGGACUGCUCGUUUGCUUCCUUCUGAGACAGGUGCGGUCUUCUUAUACAUUUUUCUUUGGCUACCAUGUCAUGUAAUCACUCUAUGCCAAUUUAACUAUAAAAACUAGCUUGCGAACUAGAGAAUCACUUUCUAUAACUUGUCUUAAGAUUUGAAGAUGUGAAGAUAUACCAAAGCUUAUUCUCAUUGAUGUGUUGUUUUAUCAUAAUUUUUUUUUAAGAAACCUUGAAUAAAAGACUUGCAAUGGAGGACAUAAAAAUUGAAAGUUCUUAACUAAGUUUCUUAACCAAAUUUACUAUUUAAAUAAUAUUAAAAAUUAAUAAGGGGUCUCUAGGAUAAUGAUGCUCUUAUAAGUUCAUGGUGUAUAUACCAUGCUUGUAGUAUUCAAAUUCUAUCAAUACGAAAGACAAUAAAUAUAUAUAUUCAACUCUAUUUUUUUAUGAAAGCCCUUUAUAAAAAAACCUAUAUUUUAUAAAAAAACUAUUAGACAUGUUUAUAACCUGGGUUUUUUAUGUUCUUUCUCCAUUACUACUUUGCUUCAUAUGAUAUUUUAUAUACGUAAACAAGUAAUUAGCUAACAAAAUUUAACAUAUCCGAUGUGUAGACAUAUAUUUUUUAUAAUUUACAAUAAGAACAAACAAAAAAAGGUUAAUUAGCAGCAGGCGAAUUAAGCAUUACCCAAGCGCAGUAGGGAUUUAACUGUAUUGUCAAUGACAAUUUGUCAUCAUUAAAGUUGAAUUGAAGUGAUUAAUAAGCAUCUUUUCAUCUUUUAUUGGAUUAUCUAAUACUUACGUUGCUUAAUAGUAGUAACUAAAGAUCUAAAAACCUUAGAAUAAACAUCAAUCAUUGGACAAUUCCAUAAAUUUUCGUUUUCUGUCACAAACUUAAGUACAAGUAUACUUAGGAAUUUCGUGUUAUUUAGCGCGGUUUGACUUUCACGUACGUAUUGUUAACCAUAUAACUUCAAGCAAGUAACUAUUUAUUAAAUAUAACUGGGGCUCGUCAUGCAGCCAGCACAACAUUGACUUUACAAUAUCUAUACAGUAAGACCAUGUUUAUCGCAGAACCUAAAGGGUUUCUUAGUGUUAAUUGUUGAAUUAAUUAAAUCCAAAGAAAAGAAAAACCAAGAUUACCGAUCCUUACUGGAGGGUUUUGGGAAUCGGUUUUAUGGUGGUUUUUCAAACACGUGGCAGCACCACAAUUUAUCUUUUUUUUCCAUCAGAAGACCGAUCGAGAGCAUGCACAAACGAAGACGACUCUCUCGUUCCUCACGGCGACUCCUUCCUCUUGAACUCGAUAGGUGUGUGCUUUCUCUUGAUUCUAUCUUCAUCUCUGAAACUACUCUCUGAAGAAUUGGGGAUGAAAGCUUCGUGAUGGACUACGAAACGUUUGAUAGCAGCGGGUUUACGCAAGUUGUGGACUUUCUCAGAUUGAGCAGGAAGCAUACAUAUCUAUCAUUAGUUAGUUGGGUACUUCAAUGAAUCUCAGGAAAAGGACAGUCUUAUACCAGAACUGCGUAAAGAGUUGAAAGUGUCAAACGAGGACAUUGAGAGCUUCUCCGUCUGAUCCGUGUGUCUCUCAGCUAUCGCUCACGAUCUCUUCAAACUGAGAAACAGAAGUUGUGAUAUGAAGCAAGCCACAAGAUUCUUAUUGAAGUCAGAAGAAGCAAGAGAAGUCACGGGUGUGUAUGUUUGUAUGUCUGUAUUAGUCACAAGUUUGUCACGAGUCUGUAUGUCUGUAUUAGUCAAGAGUGUGUCAAGUUUGUCACGGGUCUUUGGUAUGUUUGUCACGAGAGUGCUUUACUUCUCUCCUUUUCUAUAUAAGUCGCAAGUUUUGUAUACAAAAUUCGCAAGUUUACUUCUCUCCUUUUCUAAAUAUAUCAAAGUCUCAUUCGCAAAACACUCUUUUUCGUCAUCUUCUACUUGAUCAUCUCCUUUGCCAAAACACUCUUUCUCAUCAUCAUAUCUUCUACUUAAUCAUCUCAUUCGCCAAAUACACUCGUUUCAAAAAAAAAAAAAUCAAAACACAUUUUAAAUUUUGAUCACAUAUAUGGCAUCUUCUUCUAGUAACAAUUUUGAGGGAGUAGAUGGUCAAAGUUUUGAUGAAUAUUUUGAUCAAUAUGUUGAUCAAUAUUUUGAUCAAACAUUCGAAAAUUUGGCUAUUAAUUAUGGUGAUCAAGAAGACGAAAGAACAAAAAAAAAAAACGAGUUCACAUCGAAAAAAAAUCGUGAAGAAGGCGAUCGACGUUUGUGGAAUGAUUAUUUCAGUGAAACUCCAACAUAUCCUGAAAAUCUAUUCAGACGACGAUUUAGAAUGAACAAGUCAUUGUUCAUGCGUAUUGUUGAUCAACUUUCCAAUGAAGUUGAAUACUUCCGACAAAAGAAAGAUGCUCUCGGAAGGCUUAGUCUCUCUCCACUUCAGAAGUGUACGGCAGCCAUUCGUGUCUUGGCCUAUGGUUCUGCGGCUGAUGCUGUUGACGAAUAUCUUCGACUCGGUGCAACGACAGUUCGGUUAUGUGUGGAACAUUUUUUAGAAGGAAUAAUAUAUUUAUUCGGCGAUGAGUACCUAAGAAGACCAACACCGACUGAUCUUCAACGUCUACUUUAUAUUGGUGAGCAUCGUGGCUUUCCCGGGAUGAUAGGGAGCAUCGAUUGUAUGCAUUGGGAGUGGAAGAAUUGUCCCACCGCUUGGAAAGGUCAAUAUUCACGUGGUUCGGGUAACCCCACAAUAGUGUUAGAGGCGGUUGCUUCGUAUGAUUUAUGGAUAUGACAUGCGUUUUUUGGACCUCCAGGUACCUUAAAUGAUAUCAAUGUUCUUGAUCGCUCACCUGUUUUUGAUGACAUAAUAAAAGGUCAAGCUCUGCAAGUUACUUUCUCUGUCAAUGGAAGAGAGUAUCAUUUGGCUUACUAUCUCACCGAUGGUAUUUAUCCGAAAUGGACAACUUUUAUCCAAUCUAUUCCAAUACCACAAGGUCUGAAAGCGACUUUGUUUGCUCAACAUCAAGAAGCUGUCCGAAAAGAUGUCGAGCGUGCUUUUGGAGUCUUGCAAGCUCGAUUUGCCAUUGUUAAAAAUCCAGCACUUUUUUGGGAUAAAGCCAAAAUUGAGAGGAUUAUGAGAGCAUGUAUCAUACUCCAUAAUAUGAUAGUAGAAGACGAACGAGAUGGAUACACUCAUCUUGAUGUUUCAGAGUUCCAAGAAGGAGAGGACACCAGAACUUCACAUGUCGAUCUCACGUAUUCUACAGAUAUCCCUUCAAAUAUCGCCAAUAUGAUGGGUGUUCGAACUAGAAUUCGUGAUAGACAAAUGCAUCAACAACUCAAAGCUGAUUUGUUUGAACAUUUAUGGAGUAAGUUUGGACGUGAUGAAGACAACAACUGAGUUCGAAUGUUUCUUUCAAAUUACUCUUAAUUAUUGUACUAAGCUUUAUUUUUAUGUUUUUUAAUAUCAAUGUUUUAAAUAUUAUCUUUUAAUAUAUUUUAUUUAAUAAAUAAAUUUUAUCUAAAAAAAAAAAAAAUUUAAAGAUCCCUAAUUAAGAAACUCCCAUUGGACCGCUCAAAAUGAGAAUUUUUUAAUUAGAGCUCUUAACCCCACUUAAAUACAAUUAAACUAUUAAAUAAUCAUUAAGGAUCCUACUUAAGGAUCAUGGGAUAAUCAUGCUCUAAGUUACAUUACUAACAACACUAAUAUACAUACAUGCAUGCAUAUACAUAUGCACACGUAUGUGAUCAUAUUAAUAGAAAAACGUCAACUUCUCGUAUCUAAUUUGUGAUUCGAAGACUUAUUGAACGAAAUUACUUACCAUUUCUCAAUUUAUAAUUAAAUACAUGCUUACUUACUCUUAAGUCUUAACAAAAGAAUAUAAGUGCACGCUUAUCUGAUUAUAUAAAUUUAUAUUAACUUUUGUUAAAAUAUCAUUAACAAAAAAGUAAGAAAAUAUGAUAGGCUCACAUUUACAAAAGAAAAUUAUAUAUAUAUAGAGAAAAUCACAUUUUAAACCAUGAGAGUGUCACAUUCUCGCACUUUAAACACUGAACCUUUUUGACUAACACUUUAAACUUUGAAAUUGACAUUUUUAUCAUAAUUUCUCCAUAUUUUCUAGAAUAUCCGUAUAUAAAUACUUUAUUCUGGUAUAUUCUUUGGCUUCAAACACAACCGACACAAAUUUACAUGCAGGACCAUGAAUUUAUAGGAUCAUAAACAUAUUCAAAUUAUCUUUUUUAAAUUGGCAAUUUAAAAACCAUGUGAUCCUCUUUUUUUUUUUUUGAACAACUAAAAACCAGGUGAUCCAUUGUAUAAUAACUUUUUAAAAUUUGAGAACCAAAUCUAAUAGUAAUUUAAUCAGUGUGUCCAGAACCGUCCAUGCUCACAUGCCAAAGUGUUAAAACAAAAUCGGGCUAAUACAUAUCGGGUUAAGAUUAUCAGCAAAGUUAGUUUAAUGAAUUGCCGUUCAAAAAAUAUAACGGGUGCAACUGGAUUACAAGUUUUUGGAAUGAAAUUGUUUGGAAUGGCUUAUUCCUACAGAUUUUAAUUUUUUUUUACCAUUUGAAUGGAACAAAAAAUAAACUCAUUCUAAUGAUUCCUUAUGGAAUGUCUUGAAAAAAAUGGAAUGUUUAUAAAACAUUCAUGAUUAAAAAAGCUAUAACUUUUUUUAUUUCAUUCAUCUAAGUUCCAUUUUUUUUAAUUCCAUUCAUCCAUGAUAUUCCUUAAAUUGGAUGAUGAAUGAGAUCUCGAAUUCUCGAAUUGGUCGAUUGAUUCUCUCCAUGGAAUAGAAAUCAAGCGAGGAAAGAAUUGGCGUUGAAGUUGGUGGGUGCGUUGUUAGUGAGCCUGUUUCCCGGUAGGUUCCGGAGAUUGCCGUUUAGUUCCGGCGACGUCUUGGUCAGUGAAGACGGUAAAGUGCUUCCAACACGUGUCGCUCCGUUCUUGUGCGGUGAACACGUUGACUUGGCAUGUCACCAUUUUUUCCUCUGUUUUUUUGGGUUUUAAGUGGGUCAUUGUUUGGGCCUCUGAACUUAUAUAUAUAUGACGUAUGUGCUUGUUUGUUUUUAAAUGGUCUUGUCUUGGGCUUGUAUGUUCCUAUAUUCUCUGUUUAAUAUAAUUAUAGUUGGCAAAAAAAAAAAAUUGCCGUUCAAAAAAAAGAGUAUCAGCAAAGUUAUUCUAAACACAAAACUUAUUUUAAUGUGUAUUCUGUAAUCGUCAUAAAAUCCACGAAUAAGAAGAAUCGAACACACCGUUGCUCUAAAACAUAUUUUAAUUAGGAUAAUGUAGCCACGAAAGAGAAUGCAAGUACACAGAAUCACAGAGAGUCCCGUCAAUCGAAGCAUAUAAAAAUUCCGAGAUCCGUUUCUGUUCGAGAUGAGGUCAUCACUCAUCAUAACACGUGUUUGGUUCACAAACUUUUUAUCAAUGUUCAAGAUAGAUCUAUCCAUUGAAAGUUUUCAUUGACGCGGCCUACAAUACCGUAAAUGCACACAACACGUUACACACUUCCAAUGCCCAAAACUCUUUUGUCAGUUUUAGGAUAUAUUUUGUCAUUUUCUUCUACCCUAUAUAAUUUGUAAAAAAGGUUUAAACAAGCCUUAAAAAUUACUAGAAGAAAACAGAUUGGUGACUGUGGUAGGUAGAGGUUAUUCCACACGCAGUUAUAAACUAGUGUUACGUCUCUCGUAUACGAGGAUUUUCUGACUGCUCAUGUAUUGAAGUGUAAGCGCGAACAAAAAACAUAGAGAUAUUAUCACUUGUUUAUAUGAUCUCGAAGUAUCUCAAACCUAUAGAAUGACUCAAACUAAUUUUUUUUUAAAAAGGUGUAUUCCACGGAUAGAUUUUCUUUUCGGAUACGCAAAUGGACUGUAAGUAUGAGUUCAUAUCUAUGUAGAUGUUCAGGAACAAUGUGACUUAGUUUAGAACAAUAAGUGUAUCAAACUUAAAAUGUAUUAGCCUCUCAUCUUCCCUCUUGUACCACCUGACCACACUGUUCCAGACAACAUUAUAGUUCUUUUACUUUGUAAAAUGAACCGGUUUAUUAUUUUUUUUUCCUUUUGUUCAACUUUAGUUCUGAUGUUGAUGAAAACCUCCCGAGGAGUCGGCACUCUAAGUUGGUAAAGGGGAUAAACCUUGCUGCUAUGAAACCUUAAAGCUUCAAAGACAAGGGAUGUGGAGUGAAUGGUCGCACGAAGGAUGCGGAAGGCCUUCGAUAUUCCAACUCAAUGCCCUAGGAUAUGAUGCACAUAGACGACAAUGAGGAUGAUUCCCUGGAUAUGACGCACCAGGACGAAUCGGUUUGAUCCCUUGGAUAUGACGCACCAAGACGGAUCGAAAAGAUCAAUGGAUAUUACACACCAUUGAAAAAAAAGUGAGAAUCACUCUCAAGGUUCCAAAAAUAAUCACUCAAAGCUUAUCUUAUUUCAAUAGAGAUUACAACUUAUUUAUAGGAAACUAAUCUUGUUGAGAAAACUAGAUAAUUAAUACAUAGGAAAUCACAAAAUAGUGCAUGGAGGAGAGAGAAUGUUCUUGGAACAAGCAAUCCUUGCAUGCAGGAGAGAGAAGCUUUCCAUGCAAUUUAGUUUGUGAUUUUCGUCACUUUCCUUGGACAGCAAAGAAACCACUUGAUUUUGAUUCUUCUUGGGCUUGUAACUUCAUAAAAAUGGGUUGGACAUGUUACCUAACAUCAUGGGUUGAUUUUUGAUUAUUUUCCAUGUUCAAAACUUCAUAAAUCAGCCCAAGAUCACAUCAGAUGUCUUUUAGAUCGUUAUAACUAAUUUCAAUAUAAUAUUUGUAGUUAAUUUCUUGAGAAAGAUUGCAAUCAAAUUUUAGUUGCAAAACCACAUAAAAUUAACAAUGGUUUUCCCAUAUACAUGCAUGUGAUGUUAUAUUAAUAACAAAUUUUGUGGGUUUGUUAUUAUUGGUGAGAGAAUUUUUUAUCAGCGGUACGAUAGAGUUUAUUCUUGACGCAUCAAUACAUAGCUUACAAAACUAAUCAUGUAAGAAAGUUUUGUUUAAUUGCAAUAAUGUGUGUGGAUACAUAUGAAAAUUUUAAUACACAUGAAGAGCUCCAUUUAAGAGCACUGUGUGACCUAGGCACUUUACUCAAAUUCGCAAAUUAGAACCGAAAUAGACCCAAAAAUAUAUAAUCUAAAACAAAAAUUUACAAGUACCUGGUUGGGUUUAAAAUUUCUCUACCCAGAAAACUAGAACCGAAAAACAAUCCAAAUAGACUGGACCCGAUAAAAACUAAUUCAUCCCAGAUAGCUCCACCUCAAUUCUUUCAUUCGCCAAUGAUAUCAACACCAACCUGUCUCUGAUACCACUUUGUUGAAAUAACAACUACACAAUGGCAUGAUAGUUUGACCUAAAACCAGAUUCAAAAGCACAAAAUCGUUGACACACUCUCUACCAAAUUCGCCAACGUAGGUUAGAAAAUAUAAGUUUGUAAAAUUAUGGAAUCAGAAGAAGAACGAGGAAAGAACAUAGAAGAUAUGCACAAAAAAUUUUUUUCCCAGAGUUCACCUAGAAUGGCUACAUCUCUGGGGUCUGACAAAGAAGUAAUCCACUAUAAUCUUAAGAACAAGACAUAUAUAACCUCUCUCUCUAUCUCUCAAGCCUAAAAUUCGGCUUAUUUGGUGUGAAAACACACACGAGUUCCUUUUAUAUAGAAGGAGUCUAUUACAUUAACCUAGUUGGAUUAAGGCAUUAGCUCAUUUCCAUAAACCCAUUAGGAAUAUUUCCAAAAUACUUGCAACUUCCAUAACUCCAUAAAAGUAAUAUUUUCAGGAUCAUAUAAGCUUCCAUAAUACCAUGAAAGUGACAUUUCAUUUUGCUAAUAUGGCGUCCUUGUCUUGGUUUAAGUUAUGCGAUCUUGUUUGAUUUCCAUCACCAAAUCAUGACGAAGUCUCUGACGGAUUCCUUGACACAGUCUCUGACGGAUUCCUUGACACAGUCUCUGACGUAGUCCUCGAUUAAUCUCAACAUAUUCUAACAAUGAUGACAUCAUACACGAUCCACUACUUAGGUUAAGCAAACUCAUGCUUCCCCCGACGACACCAUGCUCU